rnacentral:rRNA from 1 species
AUUGAACGCUGGCGGCAUGCCUUACACAUGCAAGUCGAACGGCAGCACGGGUGCUUGCACCUGGUGGCGAGUGGCGAACGGGUGAGUAAUACAUCGGAACAUGUCCUGUAGUGGGGGAUAGCCCGGCGAAAGCCGGAUUAAUACCGCAUACGAUCUACGGAUGAUAGCGGGGGACCUUCGGGCCUCGCGCUAUCGGGUUGGCCGAUGGCUGAUUAGCUAGUUGGUGGGGUAAAGGCCUACCAAGGCGACGAUCAGUAGCUGGUCUGAGAGGACGACCAGCCACACUGGGACUGAGACACGGCCCAGACUCCUACGGGAGGCAGCAGUGGGGAAUUUUGGACAAUGGGCGAAAGCCUGAUCCAGCAAUGCCGCGUGUGUGAAGAAGGCCUUCGGGUUGUAAAGCACUUUUGUCCGGAAAGAAAUCCUUGGCCCUAAUACGGUCGGGGGAUGACGGUACCGGAAGAAUAAGCACCGGCUAACUACGUG